CAGCAUCGCUGCGCCAAGCAAGUUGAAUCCCAGCACCGAAAAGCCCAUCGGGAGAUAAUGUAAGAGCAGCAAGCGACCUCUGCCGAGGAAGGAACGGAUCAGCAGCACGCUGGCAAGGUAUGUAACCCAGAGCAGACCCUGGGAACAAAAGGCUCUCAUAUCCAGAGUUGCCACGAGCCCACAGAGCACACUUCCCAUGGCUCUGCUCAGUGGGCACUGAGGUGCUGACGCAGACCCAGCCCUCCUGCACGCACAGUCCUGCCGGUGCCCAGCUCCUAAACCAAUCCCUAACCCAGCAUCAGCACGGUGCUGGGACCCGAGUGGGAUCUCCCUGCCCACAUCUGCAGCGUGACCACGGGUAACCCUUUCACCACGCUCACAGUGCAGCACCAUGGCACCUCCAAGGAUCCCCCCAGCACUGUGGCCCUCUGAACACCCCACCGCACAGCUGUGCUGCUCUCGGUCCUAUGCAGCACUCCUCAUCCCCCGCUCCCCUUCGGCCUUCUCCAUUUUUGACAGACAGCCACACUUGCACGGACCCAGGCAGGCGCUGCACUCAGACUGUGACGGUGUUUAAAAGGUGCAAGCGGGAGAUGGUACAGCUACAGCAUCUCCUGAUGUGCCACAGCCACGUCUGGGCAAAAAAAACACCCACUCUAAAGCACUGAAAUACAGUAUAAACACACACACACACACACACACGCUGCUCCAGGAGAGCUGAGUGCAGGCUGUGGGAGCGGCUGGGAUCACACGCGGAACCCUACACGCACAGCACAUUGCAGGCAGAGCGUGCGUCCAGCCUACAAAGGGAGCUGCACAUUCGUCCCGGCUCCGGCACCGCACGUGGGGUGGCUGCAGGCAGAGGGGUGACCCUUGGGGUGCCCCCAGCCCCCCACCCGUCCUUUUCCCCCAUCUCGCACCCAUCCGGCUCUGGCAGAAGCACAGCGAUCCUGUACACAGCUUUUUCAAACUGCCAGGCAGAAGAAUCCCAGUCCUUCCAAGGGAGUGUCGGUAAAUCAUCAUUACAUCCGACAACGCAACCAGAGGGAUUAACCCUUUGCUCGGCCUCAGGAAAACAACAACAACAACAGCGACAACAAAUUCAACGAUGAAAAUGACAAAAGCUGCCCCUGGCUACAAGAGAAGGAGGACAGGCAGGGUGCGGGCUGUGAUUUUUUUAGCUAUGCGUGGAUACAGAUAGAUAGAGAUCUUUGUGCGCGCGUGUGUGCGGCGAGCACAUGAAGAACAUGCCACCACGCACCCGACUCGGAACGUGCCUCAGCCCUCCCCAUGGCUCUCCCACUUUUUGGAGGACCACAAUACUGCUCUCCAGUGCAGAUGUGCCUCCCACCCCCCCAAGGAUCUCUCCUCUGGACUUAGAGAGAAGAGGAAAAGGCAGAUUUUGAGAAAUGAAAAUUAUUUAAGGAUGUCCCCGCUGCCUCUCUCUGCUGCCCUCCUCUGUAAUACCGAAGCAUUUGCAGAAAGUAAUACAACGUAAAUAAAUAAUAAAAAACUCUUCAGCUAGAAGAGCUGCAGAGGAGGAACUGAGGAUCCUUUCCGGGCUGUGCGGAGCAAGAGAGGAAGACUCCGUGGAGGAAGGUCCCAGUGUGGGGAAGGCUGCUGAUGGAGAUCGCUGCGGGGCUGCAAACCCUGUGUCCAAAGCAGCUCGGACCUACAGCACCGGCACAGCUGGGCCCCACAUUACGAGGCGCUCAAGGAGCGGCAGAACCAGAGCCUGUCCGUCUGACUGUAGGCACAGACCUCGGGUACCCCCCCGAAAUAAACAGAGCCGCUGUCCCGCGUCCCUGAACCUGGAGCUGGAGAGGAACGCUCUCACGCUCACAGCAGACAACUCCAGGACCCGCUGGUCUGACUCAGCAAAGAGGAUUUCACUCAAAAAAGCGACCCCAGAAUGCAGCCAAAAAAUAUGCUUUGCCCCAUAAAUCAGACCUCCUGCAUACACGACGCCUUCUGUUACCAUGUGCUGAGGACUUUUCCUCUUCAAUAUGUGCCUUUGGCUGAGCCAUGCUUGCACGCAGGGGCUGUGGUUUUGCAUCUCCCAGUUUCUAUAGGCACAAGAUUUUAUUCAUACCUUUGCUCUGAAACAUCUGCAUUUCGCUUUCUUGCUAGAAUAGAUGAAGCUUUAAGUAACAACAAUAGAACACCAAGGAAUCUGAAGUAAGCCAUGUUAUGAGUGGGGUAAAUAAGCAGCAUCCUCACGGCCUGCUUCCCUCCAAGAAACCUGUCCAGAAGCAAGCAGCCAAAUCACACUUCCACAAACCUGCAUGGAUUCCUGUACAGCAAACCCUGAGUGCUCCCCCAGCCCACCCUGAGCAGCUCUUUGACUUCGGGGACAACAGGCACUCACACGCUUGUCAGAAACCACAUCAAAUUUCUAUUUUCUCUGCUAUUUUUUUUUCCCCAGCUGUUUCUUGCAUGUUUUUCAGUCAUGCAUUCUUUGCUCAGAAACACAUUCUAGCCAAGUCUAAGUGUUUAAGUUAUUAAAAAAAACAAAACCUUGUAACUUUGCACAGAAAUGUGUAGAAUCGAGAAAGAAAUGCAUGCUGUUGACUACACAUUGCAGCCUACUGCUCUUUCCCACCUCUUCCAAAACCAAUGAGUAUUUAAUCACCUCUCUCACCCCUAAACGAGCCAGGCUAACCCAAGGGGAUCAAGGCUCAGCUUCCUAGAGCAAGGGACAAGGAGGAAAGCAGGAGGGGUGCUACAGCUCUUUGCAAAGAUGAGACCAAAAGCAAUGCCAAUAUUGAUGGACGUGCUCAACUUUGCUCAGAUGAGCAGUUUCAAUCCAAACAGAUGCAGAAGGGCCCUGUUGGCACACAGAAAUCAGCAUAGCACAGCAGCUGGGAUAAGGGAAUGAGUUUAAAACAAAAGGAAACCCAGUGUCGUUGAAGCCAAGAGUAGUGCCAAGUAGAUUUGGGUCCAGAAAUUAGACCUCGUUCUUCAAAAAGACAAAAGUUGCAACAUAUGAGCUGAAGAGAAACAUAUUUAGCAGAUUUAUUUUCCUUCCUUUCCAUAUUUAAAUGGAAGCUGCUUUAAAAUACUAAAUAAACUGCAGCAAAUUGGCACAGCGAUGAAAUUAAAUAAAUAAUAAAAAAAAAAGUGGCAGUUCUAAUUUAAUUAGCCAAAAUAAGAACAGUUACAGGGGGGAGGAGAUGCCACCGGAACCACACGGCACGGGGAACAGAGCACUUGCUUUGGACACUGGGUAUAUUUAGAUCAAUGCCUCGUUCAGAGGUAAGGCUGUGGCGUGGCCACAGAAGGCACGGGCAGUGUGAGUCCAGGCACAGGAAGGGCUUGUGGGAGGGAUCAAACAAACAGGGAGAGGGGAUAAAGGGCCUUUCACAGCCCUCCGGGCUGCAUUUAUCCGGAGCUGUUUGGGAGAGCUGGGCAGAGGGAACCCACCCUGGGGAGGUGCUGACACGGAGAAGCUCUGCUCCUAUUUUAGGGACUGCUGUUCAACCUCUAUUUGGUGAUGCAAAACCAUUGCACGUUGCAUUUCUUGUUCCUCACACGGAGAGCAUCAAUCGUGCAAGGGACGUACGGAGAGCUCAGAAACCAUUUUGCGACCCAUGCUCUGCCCUGCUAUCCUCCCCCCCUCGUCCCAGCCCGUGCCAUAGGCCAGCAGUGACAUGUUUGAACUUCUGCAGCCGUUUGAUGUAAAAUGUUUUAAAUUCUUUUGGGGAACACUAAAGGCUUUUGUCUCUUGACCGGUGCUGCGGGGAUGCCACGUCUGGCAAAGACUGCUCUCACAGUGCUACUCAGCUCUACUAGAUCCCAUUGGGCUGCCCAAGAGCUGGGAACCACUGUUAAUCAUUACACAUUGGAAAGAAGAGAAACACAACACGGUGAUGCAAGCCCGAGCCCACCUUCCCUAAGGAAACGCUGGCUGCUGGUCACAAUUCUGCCAUACAUUUCUCUAAAGAACUGCAGCUUUACAGGAUGGCUGAAAGCUGCUACAGAUGAGUGGCAGCCAACCAUUAAGCCACAGCAGAGCAGUGCACUGCAUGCUUUAGGUAUGAAGGUAUUACUCUCCUAAACCUUGACCACCAACAUUUAGGAUACCAGGCAAAAGCUGCCUGGUUAUGGCAAUGUCCCUUUCUAUUUCCCUCAGUUGUCCACCUGUUCCUAUGCUGAAUUUGAGCGCUCUUUUAGGGACGAUUCAGUCACCAGUGCUGCUGGAAAAUACAAAAGUAAGCAGCAUCCCCAGCUCUAAGCACCAGCCCAGGCUGUUGUACUGCUUUUGCCAUUGGGAGGUGAUCCAAUACUACAUUUUGUUCACAGAUAACCGAGGCCAGUUUCUCUCUUUCUCUGCAAAAAAAAAAAAAAGAACCAAAAACCCAACCCACCAUCCAAACCAACGCUGGGCUGCUGCACGUGGAGCAGUAAUUCUUCCACAGUUGGAAGGUUUGCUCGUUAAGUGUCGCAAUGCAUCAGCAAGCACUGAUGUUCUGCCCAGUGCUGCACCGGAGGACCCUGCUGGGGCGGUGGGGGUGGGCAUGUGCUGAACUGGGCAGGAUGGGUGAUGCAAUCGUUCUCUAAAGGAACAGAACAUUUUUUCUUCAUGAAACAGAACCACCCUGAGAGCACCUUCUCCUGCAGCAAGGAUGGACAUGAGCCCAGAGCUUCAAAGAACCUGCUGAGCUGCAUUACUUCCUGCACAUUAAGGAUGGCUGUGGCUACAGCAGCACGUUGCUGAGACAGGGAAUGUCAACCAAAAGCUUGGGUUGGAUUCUCAGUAACUUCAACAGGGAAGGGAAAGGAAGAGGGGCUUACAUAAAGCCAGACCAACAUUCUGGUGUGACACGGUGUUUAAGGGCAAUGGUAUUUAAGACAGAAUGAUAAUAAAUGUGGUUUGGUUUUGUUUGUUACUGACAA